AGCGAACGCUGGCGGCAGGCCUAACACAUGCAAGUCGAACGAACUCUUCGGAGUUAGUGGCGGACGGGUGAGUAACACGUGGGAACGUGCCUUUAGGUUCGGAAUAACUCAGGGAAACUUGUGCUAAUACCGAAUGUGCCCUUCGGGGGAAAGAUUGAUCUCCUUUAGAGCGGCCCGCGUCCGAUUAGCUAGUUGGGAAGGUAAAGGCCGACCAAGGCGACGAUCAGUAGCUGGUUUGAGAGGAUGAUCAGCCACAUUGGGACUGAGACACGGCCCAAAAUCCUACGGGAGGCAGCAGUGGGGAAUCUUGCGCAAUGGGCGAAAGCCUGACGCAGCCAUGCCGCGUGAAUGAUGAAGGUCUUAGGAUUGUAAAAUUCUUUCACCGGGGACGAUAAUGACGGUACCCGGAGAAGAAGCCCCGGCUAACUUCGUG
rnacentral:rRNA from 1 species